rnacentral:rRNA from 1 species
UACGGAGGGUGCAAACGUUGCUCGGAAUUAUUGGGCGUAAAGCGCGCGCAGGCGGCUAUUUAAGUCUGGUGUUUAAACCUUGGGCUCAACCUGAGGUCGCACUGGAAACUGGGUGGCUUGAGUACAGAAGAGGAAAGUGGAAUUCCACGUGUAGCGGUGAAAUGCGUAGAUAUGUGGAGGAACACCAGUGGCGAAGGCGACUUUCUGGGCUGUAACUGACGCUGAGGCGCGAAAGCGUGGGGAGCGAACAGG